AAAAAAAAAUCGACAACACCUACUUUUUGCCAGUCCGAUUGUUCUUGUCCUUGUUCAGCCCGAACAAAUCAAUCUUUCCGUCAAAAUGGAGGAACAAGGUCAGUACAAUCAAGGUCAGCACCCGUCCCAAACUCAAGCAGGUUACCCGCUCCCGGCGCUCCUCCCGUUGUGAUGGUUGCCGGGGAAGGAGUGUGCCCAAACUGUGGGGGAAUGAUGUUGACCGACAACAACGGCUUAAUUUGUGGACUCAUCUGGACCUUUUGCUGCUUUCCUUUUGGCCUGAUCUGCUUGCACUCGAUGUGGAAGAAACGCUGCGUCAGCUGCGGAUUUGAAGUGCCUCAGUGCUGCUGAAUUAUAUAAUACACAUUUCGAAAUGGGAGAGAAAAUCAAAAUUAGGAUGAUUUCUGAAAAAAUACUUGUAAACUACUCACGUAUGUAAAACAGCAUAAAAUUGUGUAUUGCUUUUGUACAAAUAAAACAAGACUGGAUUUAUUAUAA